rnacentral:SRP_RNA from 1 species
UCGUGCUAGACGGGGAGGUAGCGGUGCCCUGUACCCGCAAGCCGCUAUAGCGGGGUCGAAUUCCUAUCUGAGGAUUGAUUUUGUGGAGUCUGCUCUAAGCAAGUGGUGUUGACAAUUGGGUCUUACGCAAUAGGAAUUUACGAACCCCGUCAGGUCCGGAAGGAAGCAGCGGUAAGUAAACCCUCCUAUGUGCCGUAAGGAAGCCUAAUUCGAGCUAACUACUUAGAUAACGUCUGGAAAAUCCUUUCGAAGAUAGGUGCACGA